rnacentral:rRNA from 1 species
UUCAUGGAGAGUUUGAUCCUGGCUCAGGACGAACGCUGGCGGCGUGCCUAAUACAUGCAAGUCGAGCGGACCGACGGGAGCUUGCUCCCUUAGGUCAGCGGCGGACGGGUGAGUAACACGUGGGUAACCUGCCUGUAAGACUGGGAUAACUCCGGGAAACCGGGGCUAAUACCGGAUGCUUGAUUGAACCGCAUGGUUCAAUCAUAAAAGGUGGCUUUUAGCUACCACUUACAGAUGGACCCGCGGCGCAUUAGCUAGUUGGUGAGGUAACGGCUCACCAAGGCGACGAUGCGUAGCCGACCUGAGAGGGUGAUCGGCCACACUGG